AAGGCUUUGGCUUAAUUAAAGUAUUUGCUUUGCACGCAGAGGAUGUAGGUUAAAAUCCUGCAAGUCUUA
rnacentral:tRNA from 1 species